rnacentral:rRNA from 1 species
AACGAACGCUGGCGGCAGGCUUAACACAUGCAAGUCGAACGCCCCGCAAGGGGGGUGGCAGACGGGUGAGUAACACGUGGGAACGUGCCCUAAGGUUUGGAAUAUUCCCGGGAAACUGGGAGCAAUACCAAAUGUGUCCGCAAGGAGAAAGAUUUAUCGCCUUAGGAUCGGCCCGCGUCAGAUUAGGUAGUUGGUGGGGUAAAAGCCUACCAAGCCGACGAUCUGUAGCUGGUCUGAGAGGACGACCAGCCACACUGGGACUGAGACACGGCCCAGACUCCUACGGGAGGCAGCAGUGGGGAAUCUUGGACAAUGGGCGAAAGCCUGAUCCAGCCAUGCCGCGUGGAUGAUGAAGGCCCUAGGGUUGUAAAAUCCUUUCGUUGGGGACGAUAAUGACGGUACCCAAAGAAGAAGCUCCGGCUAACUUCGUGCCAGCAGCCGCCGCUGUAA